rnacentral:rRNA from 1 species
GGAAUCUUCCACAAUGGGCGCAAGCCUGAUGGAGCAACACCGCGUGAGUGAAGAAGGGUUUCGGCUCGUAAAGCUCUGUUGUUAGAGAAGAACGUGCGUGAGAGCAACUGUUCACGCAGUGACGGUAUCUAACCAGAAAGUCACGGCUAACUACGUGCCAGCAGCCGCGGUAAUACGGAAGGUCCGGGCGUUAUCCGGAUUUAUUGGGUUUAAAGGGAGCGCAGGCUGAUGAUUAAGCGUGACGUGAAAUGUAGCCGCUCAACGGCUGAACUGCGUCGCGAACUGGUUAUCUUGAGUGAGUUCGAUGUUGGCGGAAUUCGUGGUGUAGCGGUGAAAUGCUUAGAUAUCACGAAGAACUCCGAUUGCGAAGGCAGCCAACAAGGCCUUUACUGACGCUAAAGCUCGAAGGUGCGGGUAUCGAACA